rnacentral:lncRNA from 10 species
UGUUAAGAGUCAGCUAAGGAUGCCUGUUGAAAAUAGACUCCACGCCCCCUUCCCUUCGAAGGCUGAUUCUGCAGGUUUGCAAAACGCUGAGCAUAUUUUUUUGUGGUCUCAGUAUUCAGAGCUCAAAGUACAUCAGGUGAAGAACCUGGAAUCUACAAGUUCAAGAGGCAUGGGGAGCACCUUGGUGAGGUCCACAAACUCUUUGCAGAAGUUCAGCACAAUUUUAUGGUGCUAAAAAGAGAGUGAAAGAUGUAAAAGAACAGAAUUUCUUUAUCCAUCCAAUAUAUUUAUUUUCCUUCCUCCCUCCCUCCCUCCGUCCCUCCUUCCCUCCCUCCUUCCCUCCCUCCUUCCCUCCCUCCUUUUUCUUUCUUGGCAGGGUCUUGUUUUAUCACCUAGGCUGGAAUGCAGUGGAACCUGCUUAGCUCACUGUAGCCUUGAACUGCUGGGCUCAAGCAGUCCUCCUGUUUUGGCCUCUGAAGCAACUGGGACUACAGGUAUUGGCCUGGAGUGAUUCCAAGCUCUCCUGGAACAGGAGGUGCCCCCACUCUGGGCAUAAAUAUCUCUCCCUCAUCCCUCGCAGACAACGAUCUUUGAGUACCAUCCAGUCAUAAUAUAGACAUGGCCAAGGUAACGGAGGUAAACAGAAAACAGGAAAAAUACUAGGCUGUUUGCACUGGAACAUGGUAACCAUGAAAUGAGCAAACAUUUAAUUUUGUUCAUUGAGGUCAACGUGAAAGCUGCUGAAUCUCUUAUAACAACUUUCAGGACACUUGGUGCAUGCCAUUUUGAAACACCUCAAGCUGAGCCUGUUGUUCUGAAAUGUCAGAAUGUUCCAUUCUGGUAAACAUUCAACUUGUAUUGAGUUUUCCCUUUGUGCAGAACCCUGUGAAGUGCAGCUAAAAUGUAUAAGGGGAAUGAAAGAGGAUAAAAUGAAAACUGUGGAAGCCGUGAGUCAGUAGGCAGUGAAAACUAUCCGAGAAGGCUUUCUGCUUUUGGUUGAUUACAGACUGAAUCUAUGACCCAGGGAAAGAAGCCCACCCAUUCUUUGUACGUGUGCCUUAUUUCUGUGGUUCCCUUUUCAAUAUAAGGGGCUGCUGAGACAGUAAUUUUUACAUGUGGAGUAAGGUAAUCUCAGAACAUUCCUGUGUGAGUUUGAGGCAGCUUUGAAUCCUGGUUCCACUGCUAUUACCUCUGCAGCUUUGGGCAGGUUACUUAAUCUCUGUGAUCCUGAGUUUCACAUCUGUAAAUUGGGGGUAAUAAAAGUAUCUAUUUAGGGGUUUAUUGUAAGGACUACAAAGGAAUUAUGAAUCUAAAUUGCUUAGUGCAGCCUGGUCCAAAAAUGUUCAAUGAAUGUUAAGCUAUUAUUAUGGAAAAUUAAGUCGACUCUGGAAAAAUCAAUGAUUUAGGAUUCUUUAGUUUGCUAGUUUUGAAAAUGGCUCAAUCUAGCACAAGCAAGACGGUAUGAGCAUUCUAACACAUAAUAAAUGGAAAGCUGAG